rnacentral:piRNA from 1 species
UUACCAUAAUCUUUUUCAGUAGAACUCAGU